UGAUCAGAUCACUAAGGAUGGCAUCGAGGCUCUGGUGCGAGGCUGUCGAGGCCUGAAAGCCCUGCUCCUCAGGGGCUGUACACAGUUAGAAGAUGAAGCUCUGAAGCACAUUCAGAAUUACUGCCAUGAGCUCGUGAGCCUCAACUUACAGUCCUGCUCGCGCAUCACGGACGAAGGCGUGGUGCAGAUAUGCA